rnacentral:rRNA from 1 species
AUUGAACGCUGGCGGCAGGCCUAACACAUGCAAGUCGAGCGGAUGAAGGGAGCUUGCUCCUGGAUUCAGCGGCGGACGGGUGAGUAAUGCCUAGGAAUCUGCCUGGUAGUGGGGGAUAACGUCCGGAAACGGGCGCUAAUACCGCAUACGUCCUGAGGGAGAAAGUGGGGGAUCUUCGGACCUCACGCUAUCAGAUGAGCCUAGGUCGGAUUAACUAGUUGGUGGGGUAAAGGCCUACCAAGGCGACGAUCCGUAACUGGUCUGAGAGGAUGAUCAGUCACACUGGAACUGAGAUACGGUCCAGACUCCUACGGGAGGCAGCAGUGGGGAAUAUUGGACAAUGGGCGAAAGCCUGAUCCAGCCAUGCCGCGUGUGUGAAGAAGGUCUUCGGAUUGUAAAGCACUUUAAGUUGGGAGGAAGGGCAGUAAGUUAAUACCUUGCUGUUUUGACGUUACCAACAGAAUAAGCACCGGCUAACUUCGUG